rnacentral:rRNA from 1 species
AGUCUUGCUCAGCCGCAGCUUCAACGACAAUGUUCAGCACUUUACGACGUGCGCCGCGCUCCACACUUGUCACUACCAAGUCUGAAUAGGGCGUAGAGUUGGUAUUAGUAGACCCGAAACCGGGUGACCUAUCCAUGUCCAGGUUGAAGGAACCGUAAAAGGUUUUGGAGGACCGAACACACAUGUGUUGAAAAACGUGGUGAUGAGGUGUGGAUAGCGGAGAAAUUCCAAUCGAACUCGGAGAUAGCUGGUUCUCCUCGAAAUAGCUUUAGGGCUAGCCUCGAGAGGAGUCUAACGGAGGUAAAGCACUGAACUGACGCGGGGCCCAAAAAGGUUACCAACUCAUAUCAAACUAAGAAUGCCGUCAAGAUACCCUCGGGAGUCAGUCUGCGUGAGAUAAGUCGCGUGGACAAAAGGGAAAGAGCCCAGACCGACAGCUAAGGUCCCAAAGUACGGGUUAAGUGGAAAAGGAUGUGGGAUUUCAUAGACAACUAGGAUGUUGGCUUAGAAGCAGCCAUACAUUUAAAGAGUGCGUAAUAGCUCACUAGUCGAGAAAACCUGCGCCGAAAAUGUAACGGGGCUAAAACACGACACCGAAGCUACGGAUUUCCUACUAGGUAGGAAGUGGUAGAGGAGCAUCCUGCAAGGACGAAGCCAAAGUGAGAGCGAUGGUGGACGAAACAGGAGAGAGAAUGCCGGAAUGAGUAGCGAGAUACGUGUGAGAAACAUGUAGGCCGAAUAUCUAAGGAUUCCUGGGUAAAGCUAAUCUUCCCAGGGUUAGUCGGGGCCUAAGGCGAGGACGAGAGUCGUAGUCGAUGGAUAACAGGUUGAUAUUCCUGUACUACACAUAAUCAGAACUGUGGGGACGCAGGAGGAUAGGGAAACCGGGGAAUGGAAAGACCCGGUCAAGCGCAAAGCUGUGGGAGAUAGGCAAAUCCGUCUCCUGUAAGUGAAGCGUGAUGAGGACUGAAAAAAAGUAAGGAAGUUUCCGAAUCCACACUGCCGAGAAAAGCCGCUAUUGCGUUAUGUGUACCCGUACCGUAAACCGACACAGGUAGAUGAGGAGAAAAUCCACAGGCCGACGGGAGAAGUGUUGUUAAGGAACUCGGCAAAAUGACCCCGUAACUUCGGGAUAAGGGGAGCCUCGCAAGAGGCCGCAGAAAAGAGGCACAAGCAACUGUUUAGCAAAAACAUAGGUCUAUGCGAAACCGUAAGGUGAAGUAUAUGGGCUGACGCCUGCCCGGUGCUGGAAGGUUAAAAGGAGAGGUCAGCGCAAGCGAAGCUUUGAAUUCAAGCCCCAGUAAACGGCGGCCGUAACUAUAACGGUCCUAAGGUAGCGAAAUUCCUUGUCAGGUAAGUUCUGACCCGCACGAAUGGCGUAACGAUUUGGGCGCUGUCUCAACAGCCCACCCGGCGAAAUUGUAGUACUGGUGAAGAUGCCAGUUACCCGCAACUAGACGGAAAGACCCCAUGGAGCUUUACUGUAGCUUAAUACUGAGGAUUGGUAAUUGAUGUACAGGAUAGGUGGGAGACAUGGAAACAUUGGCGUCAGCCAGUGCGGAGUCACCCUUGGGAUACCACCCUUCAAUUGCUGGUUUUCUAACCUGCGGCCGUGAAUCCGGUCGGGGGACACUGUUAGGUGGGCAGUUUGACUGGGGCGGUCGCCUCCAAAAAGGUAACGGAGGCGCUCAAAGGUUCGUUCAGCACGGACGGAAAUCGUGCAGUGAGUGUAAACGCAGAAACGAGCCUAACUGCGACACCGACGGGUGGAGCAGUAACGAAAGUUGGAGUUAGUGAUCCGGCGGUAUGUGCGUGGAAAUGCCGUCGCUCAACGGAUAAAAGCUACCCUGGGGAUAACAGGCUGAUCUCCCCCAAGCGUCCACAGCGACGGGGAGGUUUGGCACCUCGAUGUCGGCUCGUCACAUCCUGGGGCUGAAUUCGGUCCCAAGGGUUCGGCUGUUCGCCGAUUAAAGUGGCACGCGAGCUGGGUUCAGAACGUCGUGAGACAGUUCGGUCCCUAUCUGUUGCGGGCGAAAGAGAUUUGAAGGGAGCUGUCCUUAGUACGAGAGGACCGGGAUGGACAGACCUCUGGUGCACCAGUUGUCCUGCCAAGGGCACAGCUGGGUAGCUACGUCUGGACGAGAUAAACGCUGAAAGCAUCUAAGCGUGAAACUCCCCCUAAGAUAAGAUCUCUCAUCCGAAAGGAGUAAGGCUCGACGUAGACUAUGUCGU